AGUUACCGAAUACGUCUUGUAUAGAAUGUCCGAAUCAUAGCCAAACACUACAGCCUUGUGACGAUCAAUGGAUGGUUGCCCACUUUGACUAUUUUGUUGAGGGAACAGAAGAAUUUCAAUCCAAUUUAAUGUGCAGAAGGACUGACGUACUCUGUUGGGUGGUAGAGAAGAAUCGCGAUGCUAUUCGAUAACACGAAUGAGGCGGUUGAACACUUUGUAAACCUGGAUUAACUAUGCAAAUUAGAUUGCAUCACAUCUGGAAUUUAGCUGCGUGUAAUGGGUUCAACAUAUCAGCAGAAAUAGACCAGAAUAAGUCAUUCAAUGAACUGGGCAUUGGAAUGUGGGAGAAUGAGAUAUAUUGCUAUGGAUUUGAAGAAAUGGUAAGUGAAGGAGAAAUGAUCUAACACCAAAAGCCUAUAAGAUUGAGCGUUGGCAGAACAUUACAAGUGCGUUGUUGAAGGAUAGGCAAUGAAGUAUGUUUCAAAAAAUGGUGAUUAAUAAUUCAGUAAGGAAUUGCAUAAUGUUGCAAGUCUGGGGUAAAAGUUUACUGGUUUAGUUUUUUUUAUUUUGAUUUACGUGAUAGGUUAAAUCAUAUUAAAAUUAUUCGUUUAAUAUUCCUUUCCGAUUGGGUGUACAUAAUACACGUGCCCACGGAAAAGAUAUAUUACCCCGCGGAAUAAAAAUAAUGCGUAAAACACGCAAAGCAAUAAUAAGCCUUUCCGAUUGGGUUUAUUUAAUACACUAGCCCACGAAAAGGAUAAAAUAACUUGAAGGAAUAAUAAAAAUGCGCAAGAAAAACAAAUGCAGGGUGUUGGGUUUAUAAAUUGCACAUAUAUUUAGCUUGCCGUUCAUAUGCCUUGCAAGAACGGAAAUUUUAUUUUAAAAGGGUUAUUUUAUUCGUGCUGUAAUGAUAUUAACAUAUUGGUAAGUCUGGAGAUAUGCAAGACAUUUUACUUGUGAACUGUAAAAUGUAUAAGGCGAUAUGUAGAAAGAGAUGGGAGUUUUGGUAAUUAUAAAUGGGCUUAUAUCAACCGUAAAAUUCGGCAAAGGUAUGCAUUAUAACAAGUACAGUAAUUAUACAAAGUAUUUAGUAGA